rnacentral:rRNA from 1 species
GAUGAACGCUGGCGGCGUGCCUAAUACAUGCAAGUCGAGCGAACAGAUGAGGAGCUUGCUCCUCUGACGUUAGCGGCGGACGGGUGAGUAACACGUGGAUAACCUACCUAUAAGACUGGGAUAACUUCGGGAAACCGGAGCUAAUACCGGAUAAUAUAUUGAACCGCAUGGUUCAAUAGUGAAAAACGGUUUUGCUGUCACUUAUAGAUGGAUCCGCGCCGCAUUAGCUAGUUGGUAAGGUAACGGCUUACCAAGGCGACGAUGCGUAGCCGACCUGAGAGGGUGAUCGGCCACACUGGAACUGAGACACGGUCCAGACUCCUACGGGAGGCAGCAGUAGGGAAUCUUCCGCAAUGGGCGAAAGCCUGACGGAGCAACGCCGCGUGAGUGAUGAAGGUCUUCGGAUCGUAAAACUCUGUUAUUAGGGAAGAACAAAUGUGUAAGUAACUAUGCACGUCUUGACGGUACCUAAUCAGAAAGCCACGGCUAACUACGUG